rnacentral:misc_RNA from 1 species
GCUUCCAGCCGAACUAAACUGCUUGUUUCUUGCGAAACAGUAACAGAGAGAGCAAGGAUGAUGGAGAAGCCCGGGUUUUCAAUUGCAGUAUUGACUUUGCUUUAUUUGCUGGCGCAAGUCAUCGCGAUCGAGAAACCCCAAUACGAAAUAGUACAUGCAGAAUCAGAUUUUGAGGUCAGAUUAUACACUCAAUCCACAUGGAUGGCUGCCCCAGUAAGUGAAAUCUCUUUCGAAAAGGCCACCUUGGAUGGCUUUCACAGGUUGUUCCA